CCCGGGCCUUGUACACACCGCCCGUCACACCACGAAAGUCGGCAACACCCGAAGUCAGUGGCCCAACCCGCAAGGGAGGGAGCUGCCGAAGGUGGGGUUGGUGAUUGGGGUGUA
rnacentral:rRNA from 1 species